GCUUACUAAAAGUCAUUUAUUAUUUCAUUAUUUCACUUUUGAUAAUUGAACAAUUUUCAAUUGUUUUUUUCAUAUCUUAUAGCUAGUGCCCCUUUAUUAUUGACUUUACUGCUUGUUUAUGGUAGUAGUACAUUUUGUAUUUAAAUGUAAGCCAUUGUCAUUUCACUGUUAUGCAUUAUACAUGUAUUAAUUCAUGAUUCGGAUAUUCAAGUGACUGUCCAUGUUUAUUUUUAUGCCCCACCUACGAUAGUAGAGAGGCAUUAUGUUUUCUGGUCUGUGCGUCCAUUCGUCCCUCUGUCUGUCUGUCCGUUUGUUCGUCUGUUCGUUCGUCCGUCUGUCCCGCUUCAGGUUAAAGUUUUUGGUCAAGGUGGUUUUUGAUGAAGUUGAAGUCCAAUCAACUUGAAACUUAGUACACUGUUCCUUAUGAUAUAUCUUCUAAUUUUAGAGCCAAAUUAAACUUUUGACCCCAAUUUCACGGUC
rnacentral:lncRNA from 1 species